UAGGGAAUCUUCGGCCAUGGACGAAAGUCUGACCGAGCAACGCCGCGUGAGUGAAGAAGGUUUUCGGAUCGUAAAACUCUGUUGUUAGAGAAGAACAAGGACGUUAGUAACUGAACGUCCCCUGACGGUAUCUAACCAGAAAGCCACGGCUAACUACGUGCCAGCAGCCGCGGUAAUACGUAGGUGGCAAGCGUUGUCCGGAUUUAUUGGGCGUAAAGCGAGCGCAGGCGGUUUCUUAAGUCGGAUGUGAAAGCCCCCGGCUCAACCGGGGGGGGUCAUUGGAAACUGGGAGACUUGAGUGCAGAAGAGGAGAGUGGAAUUCCAUGUGUAGCGGUGAAAUGCGUAGAUAUAUGGAGGAACACCAGUGGCGAAGGCGGCUCUCUGGUCUGUAACUGACGCUGAGGCUCGAAAGCGUGGGGAGCAAACAGG
rnacentral:rRNA from 1 species